rnacentral:tRNA from 1 species
GGCCUCGUAGCUCAGCUGGUAGAGUGUGCACUGUAUAAAAGUGUAGGUGGUGUCCAUGCGUGGGUUUGAAUCCCAUCGCCGCUA